rnacentral:rRNA from 1 species
GACAGAGGGUGCAAACGUUGUUCGGAAUUACUGGGCGUAAAGCGCGUGUAGGCGGCUGCGCAAGUCGGAUGUGAAAUCCCAUGGCUCAACCAUGGAAGUGCACCCGAAACUGCGUAGCUAGAGUCUCGGAGAGGAAGGCGGAAUGCUUGGUGUAGAGGUGAAAUUCGUAGAUAUCAAGCGGAACACCGGUGGCGAAGGCGGCCUUCCGGACGAUGACUGACGCUGAGACGCGAAAGCGUGGGGAGCAAACAGG